GACAGAGGGUGCAAACGUUGUUCGGAAUUACUGGGCGUAAAGCGCGCGCAGGCGGACUGAUCAGUCCGGGGGUGAAAAUCUCACGGCUCAACCGUGAGUGGUCCCUGGAUACUGUCAGUCUUGAGGUGUCUAGAGGAGAGCGGAAUUCCCGGUGUAGUGGUGGAAUGCGUAGAUAUCGGGAAGAACACCAGUGGCGAAAGCGGCUCUCUGGGGACCACCUGACGCUGAGGCGCGAAAGCUAGGGUAGCAAACGGG
rnacentral:rRNA from 1 species